rnacentral:rRNA from 1 species
ACCUUGGAGAAACACAAAGUCGCAGCAAAGUACAUUACCCUCAUCAAGGACAUGUACGAUAAUGUUGUGACAAGUGUUCGAACAAGUGAUGUCGACACUGAUGACUUCCCGUUUAAGAUAGGACUGCAUCAGGGGUCAGCUUUGAGCCCUUAUCUUUUUGCAUUGGUGAUGGAUGAGGUCACAAGGGAUAUACAAGGUGAUAUCCCAUGGUGUAUGCUCUUUGCAGAUGAUGUGGUGCUAGUUGACGAUAGUCGGACGGGGGUAAAUAGGAAGUUAAGAGUUAUGCAGACAAACCUUGGAAUCGAAAGGGUUUAG